rnacentral:rRNA from 1 species
GUUCAAGCAGCCGCGGUAAUACGUAGGGGGCAAGCGUUGUCCGGAUUUACUGGGCGUAAAGAGCGUGUAGGCGGCCAGACAGGUCUGUUGUGAAAACUGGAGGCUUAACCUCCAGACGUCGACAGAAACCGUCUGGCUAGAGUCCGGAAGAGGAGAGUGGAAUUCCUGGUGUAGCGGUGAAAUGCGCAGAUAUCAGGAAGAACACCAAUGGCGAAGGCAGCUCUCUGGGACGGUACUGACGCUGAGACGCGAAAGCGUGGGGAGCGAACAGGAUUAGAAACCCUCGUAGUCC